AGUGAACGCUGGCGGUAGGCCUAACACAUGCAAGUCGAACGGCAGCACAGUAAGAGCUUGCUCUUACGGGUGGCGAGUGGCGGACGGGUGAGGAAUACAUCGGAAUCUACUUUUUCGUGGGGGAUAACGUAGGGAAACUUACGCUAAUACCGCAUACGACCUACGGGUGAAAGCAGGGGAUCUUCGGACCUUGCGCGAUUGAAUGAGCCGAUGUCGGAUUAGCUAGUUGGCGGGGUAAAGGCCCACCAAGGCGACGAUCCGUAGCUGGUCUGAGAGGAUGCUCAGCCACACUGGAACUGAGACACGGUCCAGACUCCUACGGGAGGCAGCAGUGGGGAAUAUUGGACAAUGGGCGCAAGCCUGAUCCAGCCAUACCGCGUGGGUGAAGAAGGCCUUCGGGUUGUAAAGCCCUUUUGUUGGGAAAGAAAAGCAGCAGGUUAAUACCCCGCUGUUCGGACGGUACCCAAAGAAUAAGCACCGGCUAACUUCGU
rnacentral:rRNA from 1 species